ACGCUCGACACCUACGGGGCAGCAGUCGGGAAUAUUGCGCAAUGGAGGAAACUCUGACGCAGUGACGCCGCGUAUAGGAAGAAGGUUUUCGGAUUGUAAACUAUUGUCGUUAGGGAAGAGAAAGGACAGUACCUAAGGAGGAAGCUCCGGCUAACUACGUGCCAGCAGCCGCGUAUNGAGGCGGGCGUGGACGAAGGC
rnacentral:rRNA from 1 species